AACGAACGCUGGCGGCAGGCCUAACACAUGCAAGUCGAGCGCGCCUUCGGGUGAGCGGCGGACGGGUGAGUAACGCGUGGGAAUAUGCCCUUCUCUACGGAAUAGUCCUGGGAAACUGGGGGUAAUACCGUAUACGCCCUUUGGGGGAAAGAUUUAUCGGGGAAGGAUUAGCCCGCGUUGGAUUAGGUAGUUGGUGGGGUAAUGGCCUACCAAGCCGACGAUCCAUAGCUGGUUUGAGAGGAUGAUCAGCCACAUUGGGACUGAGACACGGCCCAGACUCCUACGGGAGGCAGCAGUGGGGAAUCUUAGACAAUGGGGGCAACCCUGAUCUAGCCAUGCCGCGUGAGUGAUGAAGGCCUUAGGGUUGUAAAGCUCUUUCAGCUGGGAAGAUAAUGACGGUACCAGCAGAAGAAGCCCCGGCUAACUCCGUG
rnacentral:rRNA from 1 species